AGUGAACGCUGGCGGUAGGCCUAACACAUGCAAGUCGAACGGAAGCAGAGUACUAGCUCGCGCUUACGGGUGCCGAGUGGCGGAUGAGUGCGAAAAACAUCGGUAUCUACGUGGUAGAGGGUGAUGACGUAGGGAAUAAUACGCCAAAACCGCAUACGACCAAAGGGUGAAAGCAUGGGAUCUUAGGAUCUUGGGCGAGUGAAUGAGCGAAUGGCGGAUUAGCUAGUUGGGGGGGUAAAGGCCCAACAAGGCGACGCUCCGUAGCUGGUCUGAGAGGAUGAUCAGCCACACUGGAACUGAGACACGGUCCAGACUCCUACGGGAGGCAGCAGUGGGGAAUAUUGGACAAUGGGCGCAAGCCUGAUCCAGCCAUGCCGCGUGUGUGAAGAAGGCCUUCGGGUUGUAAAGCCCUUUUGUUGGGGAAGAAAAGCAGUAGGUUAAUACCUCGCUGUUCUGACGGUACCCAAAGAAUAAGCACCGGCUAACUUCGUG
rnacentral:rRNA from 1 species